CGAAGAGAAAAGAGAGAAAGAGGCAGAGCAACAAAUGAUCUUCAGCACAAAAGAAAGAGAGGAGCCGAGGAGAAACAAAGGACGUUUGGUAAUCACACAAAAAAGAAAAAAACGAGGUUCUUUAUGACGUUCUCCGGUGACAGGACACCAUCUUGCAUGAGAGCGACACUCCAAUCAAAUGGCCAUGAAAGUAAAGCAUAACAGCCCUCGAGGUGCAUUGGGCUUUACCAGCUAUGUGUGUACUGUUUUUUUUUUUUUGCUGCAGUGGUGUUCAUAAUAAGGAAGUACAAUGGUGCAGUCGUUAGAAUGACACUUACUGAAAAAAGUGAAAAGCAAAUACAGGCUACAUUGAAAAUAAAAAAAAAAUAAAAAAAUAUAAAUGUGUAUGUACAGAAGGUUAAAAACUUUUCUUUGACCGAAGCUUUCAAAUGUGAAGCAUAGUAUUUUAUCUUUUGUAAUAUUGUGCGAAGAUUUUGCUUUCAGCCCAAAACGUUUUCCAUGUCACAAUAAGCGUACCCUGAGCAAUACAACAGCCGGAUAAAUAAAAAAUAUAUGUCAUAGUUUAAGCAUGUUGCAGAUGCAUCACAUAAUCAGGUUAAUAGUAUCUGAACAGCAAGUCCAAUAAGAAAGAAACGAGAGGAAAAACUGAUGUUUAAAAAUGGCAGGAGAUAAAACACCACGGCUGUUAUUCUGUCCUGUGUGGCCGCCGUGAACAAGUAAAAAUAUGAACCAAGCUUAUGGCAUAUGGUUGUGUAAUGUGGUUUGAAAGCUAAAGCUGUACACAUGUCCACUUCCUCUUCUGCUAAUGCACAAGAACAGAG